rnacentral:rRNA from 1 species
GAUGAACGCUGGCGGCGUGCCUAAUACAUGCAAGUCGAGCGAACGGACGAGAAGCUUGCUUUUCUGAUGUUAGCGGCGGACGGGUGAGUAACACGUGGAUAACCUACCUAUAAGACUGGGAUAACUUCGGGAAACCGGAGCUAAUACCGGAUAAUAUUUUGAACCGCAUGGUUCAAAAGUGAAAGACGGUCUUGCUGUCACUUAUAGAUGGAUCCGCGCUGCAUUGGCUAGUUGGUAAGGUAACGGCUUACCAAGGCAACGAUGCAUAGCCGACCUGAGAGGGUGAUCGGCCACACUGGAACUGAGACACGGUCCAGACUCCUACGGGAGGCCGCAGUAGGGAAUCUUCCGCAAUGGGCGAAAGCCUGACGGAGCAACGCCGCGUGAGUGAUGAAGGUCUUCGGAUCGUAAAACUCUGUUAUUAGGGAAGAACAUAUGUGUAAGUAACUGUGCACAUCUUGACGGUACCUAAUCAGAAAGCCACGGCUAACUACGUG